rnacentral:rRNA from 1 species
GACGAACGCUGGCGGCGUGCUUAACACAUGCAAGUCGAACGGAAAGGCCCUGCUUGCAGGGUGCUCGAGUGGCGAACGGGUGAGUAACACGUGGGUGAUCUGCCCCUUACUUUGGGAUAAGCCUGGGAAACUGGGUCUAAUACUGGAUAGGACCAUGCUGUAGGUGGUGUGGUGGAAAGAUUAGUUUCGGUAAGGGAUGAGCUCGCGGCCUAUCAGCUUGUUGGUGGGGUAAUGGCCUACCAAGGCGUCGACGGGUAGCCGGCCGGAGAGGGUGGACAGCCGCAUUGGGGCGGAGGAGAGGCCCAGACGACUACGGGGGGCAGCAGUAGGGGAGAAUGCACAAUGGGGGCAGGCCGGAUGCAGCGGCGCCGCGGGGGGGAUGACGACCUUCGGGUUGUAGACUCCUUUCAGCCAUGACGAAGCCCUUGUGGUGACGGUAGUGGUAGAAGAAGCACCGGCUAACUACGUG